rnacentral:rRNA from 1 species
UACGUAGGGACCAAGCGUUGUUCGGAUUUACUGGGCGUAAAGGGUGCGUAGGCGGCGCGGUAAGUCGGGUGUGAAAUCUCGGGGCUUAACUCCGAAACUGCAUUCGAUACUGCCGUGCUUGAGGACUGGAGAGGAGACUGGAAUUUACGGUGUAGCGGUGAAAUGCGUAGAUAAUCGUAAGGAAGACCAGUGGCGAAGGCGGGUCUCGUGGACAGUUCCUGACGCUGAGGCACGAAGGCCAGGGGAGCAAACGGG